GAUGAACGCUGGCGGCGUGCCUAAUACAUGCAAGUCGAGCGAUCAGACGAGGAGCUUGCUCCUCUGACGUUAGCGGCGGACGGGUGAGUAACACGUGGAUAACCUACCUAUAAGACUGGGAUAACUUCGGGAAACCGGAGCUAAUACCGGAUAAUAUAUUGAACCGCAUGGUUCAAUAGUGAAAGACGGUUUUGCUGUCACUUAUAGAUGGAUCCGCGCCGCAUUAGCUAGUUGGUAAGGUAACGGCUUACCAAGGCAACGAUGCGUAGCCGGCCUGAGAGGGUGAUCGGCCACACUGGAACUGAGACACGGUCCAGACUCCUACGGGAGGCAGCAGUAGGGAAUCUUCCGCAAUGGGCGAAAGCCUGACGGAGCAACGCCGCGUGAGUGAUGAAGGUCUUCGGAUCGUAAAACUCUGUUAUUAGGGAAGAACAAAUGUGUAAGUAACUAUGCACGUCUUGACGGUACCUAAUCAGAAAGCCACGGCUAACUACGUG
rnacentral:rRNA from 1 species